rnacentral:rRNA from 1 species
AACCUUACCUGGCCUUGACAUACUAAGAACUUUCCAGAGAUGGAUUGGUGCCUUCGGGAACUUAGAUACAGGUGCUGCAUGGCUGUCGUCAGCUCGUGUCGUGAGAUGUUGGGUUAAGUCCCGCAACGAGCGCAACCCUUUUCCUUAUUUGCCAGCGGGUUAAGCCGGGAACUUUAAGGAUACUGCCAGUGACAAACUGGAGGAAGGCGGGGACGACGUCAAGUCAUCAUGGCCCUUACGGCCAGGGCUACACACGUGCUACAAUGGUCGGUACAAAGGGUUGCUACCUCGCGAGAGGAUGCUAAUCUCAAAAAGCCGAUCGUAGUCCGGAUCGCAGUCUGCAACUCGACUGCGUGAAGUCGGAAUCGCUAGUAAUCGCGGAUCAGAAUGCCGCGGUGAAUACGUUCCCGGGCCUUGUACACACCGCCCGUCACACCAUGGGAGUUUGUUGCACCGGAAGUAGGUAGUCUAACCGCAAGGAGGACGCUUACCACGGUGUGGCCGAUGACUGGGGUGAAGUCGUAACAAGGUAAGCGUAGAUGA